CAUAUAUAUGUAUAUAUAGUUUCCACAUACAUGUCCUAGAUUAUUACAGCAUAUAUUCAUAAAAGUUAUUAGAUAAAUAUCAUCUGAACUUCAUAAAACCUUUAUAGGUAGCUGAGUCCUAAAUAUGAUUAUAUUUACAGGUCAGGAAAAUGAGUGUUAAAGAAGUUAAAUUACUUGCUCACCCACACAGGACCAAGAUUCAAGCAGGGAUCCUGACUCUAGUCACAUGAAAAGUGUCAGCUUGCAUGGUCAUCAAUUCCCAGAGAGCUUAUGAAAGGACAUGAACCCUUGCAGCUCUGAGUUCUCAUGUAAGAGCCCAGCUAGCCAUGCUACCAUGCUCGAGACUCUGAGGGAAACUACAAUGAAACAGAGCAAGAUGCCCAAGAAGCCCCAGUUAUGAGGGUGUAGAGGAAGUUCUUCAUAACAUUUUCAUGAACAUUUUCAUUUACCCUACCCACUUCAUCCCUCCUGACCUUUUGUGGUAAGUGAUGCUUCUGAUUCUUUAGGCCUUUCCAGAAUGCUAUGGAGAAAGCAAUAAUCUUGUUCUCACAGUAUCUCUCUGCAAACUCUUAGAUUUGAAAUUUUUCAUUCUGUUACAUCAGGUGCUACUCCACUCCCAUUUCCAUGUUCCUAUGUUUGACCUUAGAGUUAGAGAAAUUAUCUAGACUAUGUGUUUAGAGUAUGUAUUUCUGUCUCUUAUUCUCCUUAUUGCUUGUGGUUUUCAUAAGGAAAGGGAAUUGAAACCUGAAGUUGAGCAUUCUUUCUUAGAAACACCUGAAAUUAGGUGUUAGGUGAAACAGGAACGAAGGGAAUGGCAUUCCAGGAAAAAGUCAAUAACACAGUUUCUAGCUACUGUCAGGUGUAAUUGUGGUAGCAGAAUAUUGUCAUACCUAUCUUAUAUUUAUUUUUUAAAUUUAUUUACGUUUUUAUUUUAAUUCCAGUUUAUUAACAUAUAGUGUUAUGUUAAUUUCAAGUGUACAAUAUAGUGAUUCAACAGUUCCAUACAUCACCCUGUGCUCCUCACAAUGA